ensembl:lncRNA
AUGAGGACCAUAGUAGCUACAGAUGUAGAGCACAGAAGAAGUGUGCACACCAAAUGGCCUAGGGGAGGACCAGACAUCAACCUCCCAAGCUGGCUGAAAUCGUCCUACUAUCCGACACAGAGCUGGGGUCUCCCUAGUACCUGCUGCUCUGGAGUUCCUAGGAGAGGAAGAGGAAGGAGGCAAGAAGCCGUGUAUCCAGCCAACAUUUAUGGAACAUAUGCAGAGCUGAGCAUGGCGACGGGGCUGAAGACAAGAAAAAGAAUACCAAGUCAAUGGUCCCUGCCCUCCAGGAGCACACAGAAGAAACAGACUGUAAAUGGAUUCUGAGAGUACAGGGCAACAGGGAUGGCUCAAAGGAGGCCUGGCCAACUCUGCAGAUGGGGUGAGGUGGGGGGAAUUAGGGUGGUAUGAACUUCCGGGACUGAGACUAGCGGUCGCCUCUGUCUGGGGGAGGACUUUGCUGGAGCAGGCAUGAAGGAGUGGUGGAAGCCAAAGCUUGAUUCCAUGUUGGUUACAUGGGUGUAUACAUUUGUCAAAACUCACUGAAUUGUACUCUUAAGAUUUUUGCAUUUUAUUAUAUGUAAAUUACAUCUCGAUAUGUAAGUAAAAUCAGUUUAUUGAAAAAAAAUUUUUUUAAAUGAGUGGUAGAGGAAGGGGAAGUACCUUCAGGCCAAGAUAAUUUUAUGUUCAAGGGUUUGUGGGUAUAAGGCAGCAUGGUGCCCAGGGUAAUGUGCCAAUUGCUGAGUUUGGCUGGAAUUUAGGGCGUAUAAAGGAUGUGAGAACAAGUGGUUAGAACCUUACAUGCCUUACAGAGGAGUCUAGACAUCGUCCUCCAAGUCUAGGUUUGUGGGGAGUGCGGAGGGAGGGAAAAGAAGAAGCCAGAGAGGACCAAUACAGCAGCAAGGCAAGCUGCACCAAUACCCUAGACACUAAUCAGGAAAAAGUCACUUCCUACAUCCAGGCUGAACUUGGUCAACUUCUCCUGCCCAGGAGGAGAGGGUGCCCAGAGUGUUUGUCAUGAACCAGCAGGGAAAUGUCCCCAGUGAUUGUCUAUUUCACUUCUGCUGGAGAUGAUCACUGCUUCCUCAUUCAGCG